GCUUUGCCUGGCUUUCUUUUGGAUCACUUGUUCUGGAAGAAGCCAGCUGCCAUGCUGUAAGGACACUCAAGCCGUUUCCCCACGUGGGAACAGCCAACAUCAACUUGCUAGCCAUACAAGUGAGGCAUCUUGGGAGCAGAUCUUCUAGUCCCCAUGAAGCCUUUCGAAGACUACAGCCCUGCUAACUUUUUCACUGCAACCUCAUGAGACAUCACAGAGAAAGACUGGGACUCCAAGCCUUGGGAUGAAGGCAACUGUGAGGAUACGUAUGAGGACCUUAAACCCUGGAUGCUCUUGAAUCAUGGAGGCUGUAGAAGCUGCUCUCUCCCCCUCGCUAGAGGAGAGCCGUCUUCCUUUGCCUGGAGAGGAUGAACAUGUCCCUGAGUUGAAUGCCUUGCAAGAUGCUUCUUGUCCUCCUUGGAAUCCCCUCCACUGACUCCCUCAAUUGCCUGCAGAUUGGUAAUGAGAAGGCAGCAGACACCACACGGGGGAUACUGCUUCAAACCAUUUAUUGAGUGACUCAAAAAUUUUCCAAUUUAAAGUGAGGCCCAAAGCAAGAGAAGACUCUGUAGCAGGCUCAGGCAAUGGUGCAAGCUUCCUUGUUGCUAGGACUACAUGACCCAACAGACUCAGUUGUGCUAGAGGUGUUCAACGGAGAGUGGCAACUCAGAGCUCCAGAAUUCUGAAUCAAGGCAUGCCUCUUGCCACAGAGAAUCACUCACUGCUUGAAAAGCAGCUUCUGGUAUACUAAAGGGUCCUAGUAAAGACCAAGCAUGUGACCAUGGGACAUCAAGUGACUGCCACCAGGAGUGUAUUGUCAAAUCAUCUAAGUCAUAAGGUGAACUUAAAGCAGCAAUCCAUCAUAUGAUGGUAAUGAUACAUACAGGAUCAGGCCUGAAAAAUUCCAGAGAGCAGAAGUAAAUUUCAUAAGCGGAUGACCAGACUUCCAGGUCACCACCCUCUGUUACAUCAGUGAUUCUCUAUCAGUCUGCAACCUAUGGCCUCAGGAGAUGUUCCCUGUGACCAACUGACAGAGGAGAAAAAAAUUGAAGCAUGUUUUAAAGAUGGCUCAGCUCAAUAUUUUGGUACAAGAGAAAAUGGUCUGCUCUUGCACUAUAUUCCAUUCAUAGGUAGCCUUAAAAGACAGUGGUAAGGAGAAACUCUUGUAGCGGGCAGAGCUUGGAACAGGCACUUGAGGCACUUGGCGUAUGGAGGAAGACCUAGCCUAACAUAAG
rnacentral:lncRNA from 1 species